rnacentral:rRNA from 1 species
AACGAACGCUGGCGGCGUGCCUAACACAUGCAAGUCGUGCGAGAAAGUUCCUUCGGGAGCGAGUAAAGCGGCGCACGGGUGAGUAACACGUAGGUAACCUGCCCCCCAGUCUGGAACAACUAGAGGAAACUCUAGCUAAUGCCGGAUGAGACCACGAUCCUUCGGGGUUGCGGCCAAAGAUGGCCUCUACUUGUAAGCUAUCGCUGAGGGAUGGGCCUGCGGGCCAUUAGCUUGUUGGUGAGGUAACGGCUCACCAAGGCUGUGAUGGCUAGCUGGUCUGAGAGGAUGACCAGCCACACUGGGACUGAGACACGGCCCAGACUCCUACGGAGGCAGCAGUGGGGAA